UACGUAGGGGGCUAGCGUUGUCCGGAAUCAUUGGGCGUAAAGCGCGUGUAGGCGGUCCGAUAAGUCCGCUGUGAAAGUCGAGGGCUCAACCUCGAAUGCCGGUGGAUACUGUCGGGCUUGAGUACGGGAGAGGCGAGUGGAAUUCCCGGUGUAGCAGUGAAAUGCGUAGAUAUCGGGAGGAAUACCGAUGGCGAAGGCAGGUCUCUGGGCUGACACUGACGCUCAGGCACGGAAAGCGUGGGGAGCAAACAGG
rnacentral:rRNA from 1 species